rnacentral:misc_RNA from 1 species
AAAGUAUAUAAUUGAAUCAACUAUUAAGGAAUGAAUCAUGUGUUACGCUAUAAAUUAACUCGUCACUUUGAAGCCACCGCUCGUUGCUGUGGAUCGCACGUUCUCCUCGUCUUUGUGGUGGUGGCCGUCGUCGUGUUUCGUCACUUUGAAGCCAUUAUCGUUAUCUUUUAGAGUUUCACGAUCUUUACUGAACCAAAAAGAAAUUUAAGUGGACAAUUCCAGAGAGAUUCAAUAAUUUCCCCAAUUCGAGUCCUCACCAAUUCGACAGAGGGUUAGUGAAUUCAACUCAAGUGAGAGCAAUAUAGGCUUUAAUGUCAAGAAAUAACAUGGAGCAGCGCAAGGAAGAGAAAAACAAGUACAGUAUUAUAAUCCCAACCUACAAUGAGCGCCUCAACAUUGCCAUCAUCGUCUACCUCAUCUUUAAGCAUGUCAGGGAUGUUGAGUUUGAAAUUAUUGUUGUUGACGAUGGGAGUCCUGAUGGUACUCAAGAUGUUGUAAAGCAGUUGCAGCAAGUUUACGGUGAAGAUUGCAUUUUGUUAAGACCAAGGCCGAAGAAGCUUGGUUUAGGUAGGUGGUUAUGUUUUUAUGUAUGAUAAUAAUGGGAAACUUGUCCUUCAUGCAUUUAUACCCUCAGGAACGGCUUACAUUCAUGGUUUGAAGCAUGCAUCUGGAAAUUUCGUUGUAAUCAUGGAUGCUGAUCUAUCCCACCAUGUAAGUAUUAUUCAUCUGUAGUUCAACAUUUAGAUCCACCUCUAAUGCUUGGAAGCUUAUUGGCGACUUCUAAUUUAUAUGUGCAUCCCUUAUCUUCUGGACCUUGUGCAUGUAAUUUCUAUAUAUAUUUCUCAGUGAUCUACUUCAUCUGAAAAGGAAAUUGAAAGAAAAAAAUAUUUCUAGGCUUACAUGCAUGUGGUUGGGAUUGGAAACUGUAUAAAUAAUAGCUCAGGUUGAUCCAUUUUCAAGUUUCAUCUAUCUGAUUUGUGUGAUUCAUGUUUUGCAGCCAAAGUACUUGCCAAGCUUUAUCAAAAAACAGUUGGAGACUGGUGCAAGUAUAGUCACUGGAACCCGGUAUGCUCAGGGCGGCGGUGUACAUGGUUGGAAUCUUAUGCGCAAACUAACAAGUAGGGGAGCAAAUGUUCUUGCACAAACACUUCUGUGGCCUGGUGUAUCUGAUUUGACAGGGUCUUUCCGGUAUAUGAAUGAGUUUAUGGUAUUCGUGCGUUCGUUUUUCUAUACUUGGUGGAUUUUUUAUGAGAUCUCUCUCUCUCUCUUUUCCCCCCUUUUUUUCUUUGAAGGCUUUAUAAAAAAUCAGUUCUCGAAGAUAUAAUAACCUCAGUUGUUAGCAAGGGGUAUGUCUUUCAAAUGGAGAUGAUUGUUCGGGCUUCCAGAAAAGGGUACCAUAUUGAGGAGGUUCCAAUUACUUUUGUUGACAGAGUUUUUGGAAGUUCAAAGCUUGGAGGAUCUGAGAUUGUUGAAUAUCUGAAAGGUGUUGCUUAUCUUCUGGUUACAACGUAAGGGGUCAUUUGAACCUCGUGCUCCGUGAAAUGUUGCAUUUCUCCUAAAGAAUUUAAUAGGCUUUCAUCAUCAUCUUUUUAUGUUUUCUAGUUAUGAUGCGUCUAUUUUUAUGAAGAGUUUUUAUAUGGAGUGAUAGGUUAUACAACACAAACUUAUCAAUGCUUUUAAUGAAUUGUUUAUCGAGUUCAAAUCACAUAUAAACUUAGUGCUGUUGCAAAAUUCACAUGCAAAGUCAUGAGCGUUGAACAGAUAAGAUACAUUUUAACUGCUUGGCACAACUUGCUCUUGUUAUUCUUCUACAACUCAGCUUUCCUUGUU